AUGUACUCGUCGCAAUCGGCGAGUCGCACCAACAACAUCCGCACUUCGCUCAUCGAUGCGCAGAAGGGCAACCUCUUCGUCGCCUCCUACUUUGCCACCAUGCGUGGGUACGCCGACGAGCUGGCUGCGGCGGGCAAGGCGAUCCUCGACGAUGAGCUUAUCUCCUACAUCAUCCACGGGCUCGAUACUGACUACCAGCCUCUGAUCUCUGCUCUAGACGCUCGCAUAACUCCCGUCACCCUCGACGAGCUGUUCGCCAUGCUCUCCAACUUUGAUCAGCGGAUGGUGCACUUCCACGGGUCCAGCGGUGGUGGCUUCAAGCCCUCCGCGAACUCGGCCUCUCGCGGUCGUGGUGGCUCCUCUCGGCGAGCGGCUUCUCCCAGGGCAGGGGAGGUCAAGUGGAGGCGGAAACGGCGGCAGCUCAAACUCCCGCAAUGGCGGGCGUGCUCCCUCCAACAACAUAACUCGCCGCGGUGGCGGCAAUCCUCGUGCACGACCUGA
rnacentral:rRNA from 1 species